UGUCGCUGAUGGAUGGACCCGCGGUGCAUUAGCUAGUUGGUGAGGUAACGGCUCACCAAGGCGACGAUGCAUAGCCGACCUGAGAGGGUGAUCGGCCACAUUGGGACUGAGACACGGCCCAAACUCCUACGGGAGGCAGCAGUAGGGAAUCUUCGGCAAUGGACGAAAGUCUGACCGAGCAACGCCGCGUGAGUGAAGAAGGUUUUCGGAUCGUAAAACUCUGUUGUUAGAGAAGAACAAGGAUGAGAGUAACUGUUCAUCCCUUGACGGUAUCUAACCAGAAAGCCACGGCUAACUACGUGCCAGCAGCCGCGGUAAUACGUAGGUGGCAAGCGUUGUCCGGAUUUAUUGGGCGUAAAGCGAGCGCAGGCGGUUUCUUAAGUCUGAUGUGAAAGCCCCCGGCUCAACCGGGGAGGGUCAUUGGAAACUGGGAGACUUGAGUGCAGAAGAGGAGAGUGGAAUUCCAUGUGUAGCGGUGAAAUGCGUAGAUAUAUGGAGGAACACCAGUGGCGAAGGCGGCUCUCUGGUCUGUAACUGACGCUGAGGCUCGAAAGCGUGGGGAGCAAACAGGAUUAGAUACCCUGGUAGUCCACGCCGUAAACGAUGAGUGCUAAGUGUUGGAGGGUUUCCGCCCUUCAGUGCUGCAGCUAACGCAUUAAGCACUCCGCCUGGGGAGUACGACCGCAAGGUUGAAACUCAAAGGAAUUGACGGGGGCCCGCACAAGCGGUGGAGCAUGUGGUUUAAUUCGAAGC
rnacentral:rRNA from 1 species